rnacentral:rRNA from 1 species
GGGGAAUAUUGGACAAUGGGGGCAACCCUGAUCCAGCCAUGCCGCGUGAAUGAUGAAGGCCUUCGGGUUGUAAAGUUCUUUUGGAGGGGACGAUGAUGACGGUACCCUCAGAAUAAGCUCCGGCUAACUUCGUGCCAGCAGCCGCGGUAAUACGAAGGGAGCUAGCGUUGUUCGGAAUUACUGGGCGUAAAGGGCGUGUAGGCGGUUUGGUCAGUCAGAUGUGAAAGCCCUGGGCUUAACCCAGGAACUGCGUUUGAUACUGCCAAGCUUGAAUUCGGGAGAGGUGAGUGGAAUUCCCAGUGUAGAGGUGAAAUUCGUAGAUAUUGGGAAGAACACCGGUGGCGAAGGCGGCUCACUGGACCGACAUUGACGCUGAGGCGCGAAAGCGUGGGGAGCAAAC